rnacentral:rRNA from 1 species
UCUCUCUUGAGUGGAUCCUGAGUACGACGGAGCACGUGAAAUUCCGUCGGAAUCUGGGAGGACCAUCUCCUAAGGCUAAAUACUCUCUAGUGACCGAUAGUGAACCAGUACCGUGAGGGAAAGGUGAAAAGCACCCCGGAAGGGGAGUGAAAUAGAACCUGAAACCGUGUGCUUACAAGUAGUCAGAGCCCGUUAAUGGGUGAUGGCGUGCCUUUUGUAGAAUGAACCGGCGAGUUACGAUUUGAUGCAAGGUUAAGCAGUAAAUGUGGAGCCGUAGCGAAAGCGAGUCUGAAUAGGGCGUUUAGUAUUUGGUCGUAGACCCGAAACCAGGUGAUCUACCCUUGGUCAGGUUGAAGUUCAGGUAACACUGAAUGGAGGACCGAACCGACUUACGUUGAAAAGUGAGCGGAUGAACUGAGGGUAGCGGAGAAAUUCCAAUCGAACCUGGAGAUAGCUGGUUCUCUCCGAAAUAGCUUUAGGGCUAGCCUCAAGUGAUGAUUAUUGGAGGUAGAGCACUGUUUGGACGAGGGGCCCCUCUCGGGUUACCGAAUUCAGACAAACUCCGAAUGCCAAUUAAUUUAACUUGGGAGUCAGAACAUGGGUGAUAAGGUCCGUGUUCGAAAGGGAAACAGCCCAGACCACCAGCUAAGGUCCCAAAAUAUAUGUUAAGUGGAAAAGGAUGUGGCGUUGCCCAGACAACUAGGAUGUUGGCUUAGAAGCAGCCAUCAUUUAAAGAGUGCGUAAUAGCUCACUAGUCGAGUGACACUGCGCCGAAAAUGUACCGGGGCUAAACAUAUUACCGAAGCUGUGGAUUGUCCUUUGGACAAUGGUAGGAGAGCGUUCUAAGGGCGUUGAAGCAUGAUCGUAAGGACAUGUGGAGCGCUUAGAAGUGAGAAUGCCGGUGUGAGUAGCGAAAGACGGGUGAGAAUCCCGUCCACCGAUUGACUAAGGUUUCCAGAGGAAGGCUCGUCCGCUCUGGGUUAGUCGGGUCCUAAGCUGAGGCCGACAGGCGUAGGCGAUGGAUAACAGGUUGAUAUUCCUGUACCACCUAUAAUCGUUUUAAUCGAUGGGGGGACGCAGUAGGAUAGGCGAAGCGUGCGAUUGGAUUGCACGUCUAAGCAGUAAGGCUGAGUAUUAGGCAAAUCCGGUACUCGUUAAGGCUGAGCUGUGAUGGGGAGAAGACAUUGUGUCUUCGAGUCGUUGAUUUCACACUGCCGAGAAAAGCCUCUAGAUAGAAAAUAGGUGCCCGUACCGCAAACCGACACAGGUAGUCAAGAUGAGAAUUCUAAGGUGAGCGAGCGAACUCUCGUUAAGGAACUCGGCAAAAUGACCCCGUAACUUCGGGAGAAGGGGUGCUCUUUAGGGUUAACGCCCAGAAGAGCCGCAGUGAAUAGGCCCAAGCGACUGUUUAUCAAAAACACAGGUCUCUGCUAAACCGUAAGGUGAUGUAUAGGGGCUGACGCCUGCCCGGUGCUGGAAGGUUAAGAGGAGUGGUUAGCUUCUGCGAAGCUACGAAUCGAAGCCCCAGUAAACGGCGGCCGUAACUAUAACGGUCCUAAGGUAGCGAAAUUCCUUGUCGGGUAAGUUCCGACCCGCACGAAAGGCGUAACGAUUUGGGCACUGUCUCAACGAGAGACUCGGUGAAAUCAUAGUACCUGUGAAGAUGCAGGUUACCCGCGACAGGACGGAAAGACCCCGUGGAGCUUUACUGUAGCCUGAUAUUGAAAUUCGGCACAGCUUGUACAGGAUAGGUAGGAGCCUUUGAAACGUGAGCGCUAGCUUACGUGGAGGCGCUGGUGGGAUACUACCCUAGCUGUGUUGGCUUUCUAACCCGCACCACUUAUCGUGGUGGGAGACAGUGUCAGGCGGGCAGUUUGACUGGGGCGGUCGCCUCCUAAAAGGUAACGGAGGCGCUCAAAGGUUCCCUCAGAAUGGUUGGAAAUCAUUCAUAGAGUGUAAAGGCAUAAGGGAGCUUGACUGCGAGACCUACAAGUCGAGCAGGGUCGAAAGACGGACUUAGUGAUCCGGUGGUUCCGCAUGGAAGGGCCAUCGCUCAACGGAUAAAAGCUACCCCGGGGAUAACAGGCUUAUCUCCCCCAAGAGUUCACAUCGACGGGGAGGUUUGGCACCUCGAUGUCGGCUCAUCGCAUCCUGGGGCUGUAGUCGGUCCCAAGGGUUGGGCUGUUCGCCCAUUAAAGCGGUACGCGAGCUGGGUUCAGAACGUCGUGAGACAGUUCGGUCCCUAUCCGUCGUGGGCGUAGGAAAUUUGAGAGGAGCUGUCCUUAGUACGAGAGGACCGGGAUGGACAUACCUCUGGUGUACCAGUUGUCGUGCCAACGGCAUAGCUGGGUAGCUAUGU